rnacentral:lncRNA from 1 species
GUGUUGCGACGUAAUAAAGGAAUUGCGAUCACAAUAUCAGUGAAUUCAGUGGGCACGUUAAAAAAAUCAACUUGUAGUCUAUUGAAGUGUAGAGAGCAACAGAUUUACCUAUGUAAAACCUCGUACAGUUCUAAAAACAAUUUGGACUAAUGUGCUAAUGACACGAGUAGGGCAACCCCAAUGUGUAUACGGACCCACCAGAGGAUAGAUAACGGGUAUAGUAUAAGUUGGAUGUAUUUUGAAGUGAUGAAGUAGUCCAAGGAGCCCAAAGAUCAAAAUCGGAAACAAUGGUAAUUACAUUUUGGUUUAUUUAUCUGGCCAAGUAGUUGCUUGGUCAUCACAGAAUUGGAUGCAUU